rnacentral:rRNA from 1 species
UACGUAGGGUGCAAGCGUUUAAUCGGAAUUACUGGGCGUAAAGCGUGCGCAGGCGGCUAUGCAAGACAGAUGUGAAAUCCCCGGGCUCAACCUGGGAACUGCAUUUGUGACUGCAUGGCUAGAGUGCGGCAGAGGGGGAUGGAAUUCCGCGUGUAGCAGUGAAAUGCGUAGAUAUGCGGAGGAACACCGAUGGCGAAGGCAAUCCCCCUGGGCCUGCACUGACGCUCAUGCACGAAAGCGUGGGGAGCAAACAGG